AUUGAACGCUGGCGGCAUGCUUUACACAUGCAAGUCGAACGGUAACAGGGAGCUUGCUCCGCUGACGAGUGGCGAACGGGUGAGUAAUGCGUCGGAACGUGCCGAGUAGUGGGGGAUAACGCAUCGAAAGGUGUGCUAAUACCGCAUACGAACUGAGGUUGAAAGUGGGGGACCUUCGGGCCUCACGCUAUUCGAGCGGCCGACGUCUGAUUAGCUAGUUGGUGAGGUAAAGGCUCACCAAGGCGACGAUCAGUAGCGGGUCGGAGAGGAUGAUCCGCCACACUGGGACUGAGACACGGCCCAGACUCCUACGGGAGGCGGCAGUGGGGAAUUUUGGACAAUGGGCGCAGGCCUGAUCCAGCCAUGCCGCGUGUCUGAAGAAGGCCUUCGGGUUGUAAAGGACUUUUGUCCGGGAGCAAAUGCUGGUGGCUAACAUCCACCGGAGCUGAGAGUACCGGAAGAAUAAGCACCGGCUAACUACGUGCCAGCAGCCGCGGUAAUAC
rnacentral:rRNA from 1 species